GACGAACGCUGGCGGCGUGCCUAAUACAUGCAAGUCGAACGCAGUGGGGACGGGUGAGUACAACGUGGGUAACCUCCCAUCAGAGGGGAUAACACUUGGCAACAGGUGCUAAACCGAUACUGCUGGAUGGACCCGCGGUGGUUUAGCUAGUUGGUGAGGUAACGGCUCACCAAGGCCACGAGGCAUAGCCGACCUGAUAGGGGGAGCGCCCACACUGGGACUGUGACACGGUCCAGAAUCCUACGGGAGGCAGCAGUAGGGAAUCUUGGGCAAUGGACGAAAGUCGGACCGAGCAACGCCGCGUGAAUGAAGAAGGUGUUCGGAUCGUAAAGCUCUUUGAUUAGAGAAGCGGUAUCUAACGAGAAAGCCACGGCUAACUCCGUGCCAGCAGCCGCGGUAAUUC
rnacentral:rRNA from 1 species